GAUGCUGCUGUGGCCAAUGCUGCUGAGGCCAAUGCUGUUGCGGCUAAUGUUGCGGCGGCUGGUGGACGACGACCAGGUUAGGUCCGCCUGCAACUAAAGCAAAACCCUGACCUACACCAAAGUCGCUCGCCAUUUUCCCUCCCGCUCUCUCAAGAUGGGUCUGCAAACGUAUUCAAGGCCUUUUAACCCAGUUAACGAGCGAACCGGGCUAAAUUUAAAUAGCUAGAUCCUCUCCCGCUAUCAAUAGUCGGUGUCACCACCAAAUCUUAUCGAUAGCAGGACCUGCUGACGGAUCGGUUUGUUUCAGUAUUUUCCAGACGGCUUCAACUGAAAAUGCAACACAAUUAAAGAUAGAAUACUAUCACUGUGGACGGCCGUCCACGUAGUGACGAUGAGCACCGGAAAUCGUGCGCAAGAAGACCUAUCACUAUUGACGAUAUAUAUAGCAAUCAAAUCAAUCACUUUUAUAAGAGCUUGUGAAUGCUAGGAAUCCCUAUAGCUUUUGAGAUUACGCUACGUUUAAAAUGCAACAAAUUUUUCCCUACACAUUCGCUUUUGGGAGUUAUUCAGCGUUUAAAAAUUCAACCCAUUUCAGAUUUUAAAUAGUAUUUAAAUGAGCAGUAAUCUUUGCUAAGCCAAUAAGAUGCCUAAAAAUUUUAUUAGAGCUUUUUACGUAAAAUGGAAACAUAAGCAAGGGUAUUGUUUACUUAUAACUUAGAUUACCUGGUACUCAAUUUGAAAUAACUAUUUAGACCUUUUAAAUAAAAUCACCACCAACGGAUCCAUGUUGCAUGAGCUCUAAGUAA